UUGUUUCGCGGUAGUUUUUUGUUUUGUCCUUGUAGGCAGACGAACAGUAAAACAUAUAGUGAUUACCGUUCCUCAUGGACGUCAGUAAAGCCAUAGGCAGAACCAAGCCGCUGCCUACCGUUUAAUUCUCUCUACAGGUCUCGUUUGAAGAAGGCGUAUCAUAGCGCUCGGGAAACACCGUGGAGGGUAGCUCAUUCCAAAGCCGGAUGGUACGUGGCAAAAAAGAUCUCUGGAAACGCACUGUGGAUGAACACAGUAGCCAGGUGAUGCCAGUUCGUGUUGGCCUAUAAUACACAAAUUCACUACUCACAAUACAUUAACUAGUACAUCAGUAAUACUAGUUCUUAGAAUAAUUACUGGUUUCAGCGUUUCCUUUCAAAGUCCUUUCAAGAAUCAUAUUACCGGUUAUUCAAUUGCUGUACUGAGCCAGAUCAAUAAAAAAAAAAAAAAUUGGCAAUCUAUUAAAAUGACGUCGCGAGACAAACGUCAAUUUGCGAGAAGGAAGCGAAGAUAGGAGCAUCCAAUUUUCAAUAAGCUCUUAAGCAUGAAAUAUGCCGAAUUACAAAAAAUAAUGAACCUGCCAGGAUCUUUUACCGUUCCUUUUUUAGAGAAAAAUAAAAAUACAUACACGUUUCAUUUACCCGCCAACGCCUUUGAAAGGACCCGUAGAAUGUUCGAGAAAUUCUUAUCGACAAUCGUAUAGCUCAGAUAUUUGGGGUAAAUUUUUGCGGUGUUGUAUUUUAAAACGUAAUUUAACGAUUCUUUCUGAAAUGUUUUAGUUUAAUUAGAUUUAUAAAAUGUUUUGUUGGGAUCAAAAUCAACUAUGUGCAUAGAGACGUACAUUGUAACUUAUAGCUUAUAAUUUUGGAGAUUUUCUUAUGUUCUUUGAUUUAUUACACAUUGUAAACACUACAAACUUGAGAUCGGAAAUAAAAUUUUCAUUGCAUUGAUUCAACGAAA